UACGGAGGGGGCUAGCGUUGUUCGGAAUUACUGGGCGUAAAGCGCACGUAGGCGGCUUUGUAAGUUAGAGGUGAAAGCCCGGGGCUCAACUCCGGAAUUGCCUUUAAGACUGCAUCGCUAGAAUUGUGGAGAGGUAAGUGGAAUUCCGAGUGUAGAGGUGAAAUUCGUAAAUAUUCGGAAGAACACCAGUGGCGAAGGCGACUUACUGGACACAUAUUGACGCUGAGGUGCGAAAGCGUGGGGAGCAAACAGG
rnacentral:rRNA from 1 species